rnacentral:misc_RNA from 1 species
AUUAGAUUUAAGGUGGAGUUGAUUUGGAAUAAGCCCAUGAUUAAAGGCACUAAAAUUAGAUUGGGAGUUAAGAUUCUUUCUGGAUUCCAUUUAAAUAUGAAGUUCUACCUAACUUCGGUUAUCUUAGUGAAUGUGACGAUUGUGUGGAUGGUACAAAUCUGUCAAGUGUUAAGAUGCGGUAUGGUGAAUGGCUAAAGGCAUCGUCAUUGAAGAGGGUCACAGGCUUUUCACAAAAAGCAGAAACGAG